rnacentral:rRNA from 1 species
UACGAAGGGGGCUAGCGUUGUUCGGAUUUACUGGGCGUAAAGCGUGCGCAGGCGGUUUUGUAAGUCUGUCGUGAAAUCCCCGGGCUCAACCUGGGAAUUGCGAUGGAGACUGCAAGGCUAGAAUCUGGCAGAGGGGGUAGAAUUCCACGUGUGAGCAGUGAAAUGCGUAGAGAUGUGGAGGAACACCGAUGGCGAAGGCGGCUCACUGGCCCGUAACUGACGCUGAGGUGCGAAAGCGUGGGGAGCAACAGG